AAGAAACAACAGGUGGAACUGUAUCUUUCAUUGCCUUUAUUUUUCAUUUUAUUUAGUGUCUAACAAGUAAAUGAAAUAAAUGACGUGAAGGAUUCUUCUUUCUGGAGAACCAGAUGCUGUGAACAAACGCCUUAUCCACCUUGCCUGAUGUAUCAAUAUCUGAAAUAUGUUGCUACCACAACUACAGUUUGCAACCCUACAAAGCCAGCAACUGACCUACCUGGAGCUCUCAACUGUUUAGUCACCUGGUCAGGUAUUUGAUUGAGAACUCCUCAUAUAGUGAAGUGCUUUAGAAUUUACAGCUGCUGCAGUGAAAAAUCAAUAGCAAAACUCUACAAGACUCCUAUGGCAGCAGAAAAAGCAUCAAGAAAAGUGGCUGUGACACUAUACAUCACUAUUCUGCAGUACUGCAACACUUCUUGGAGAGAGCCCUGGCCUUGAACUUCAAGUUAUGAGUCAAAGGGAUACCUCUUCAUUGUCUUACUCCACAGAGCUGCUCCUACUUCAGCGCAGUACUCGCUGAUGUCGUAUAGCCACCGUUUGAUUGUCUUCUGGAACAUCUCCAAAACUGAAUUCACUUGUUGAGAAUCUUGGCACAGUUUCUGCAAAAAGCAAGCCUGCUUCAGCACAACACUGAGCACAGGAUCCAGCCGUCUGUGUGGAUUGCAACAGUACAUCAACAAUUGAUGCUAACAUGGCAGUGAUUUUUACUGUACCUGAAUCACAUGACUGAGGAGAUGCUUUUCAUCAAAGCCCUUUUGAAAUUGAAGGCUUCAGCUCCACUAGCAAUAGCUAGUGGAAUAGCAAAAGAUGCAACACUGCAAAAUUUCAUUUUGAUUUAUUUAAAGCACUAUUUCUUUCACAAGUCUUCUGGAAGAAUAAUCCUAAAAUAAGGGAAGUCUCCUGUCUCCAGAAGCAGCCAGCAGUGGAUACCAAGCUAAACCCAAGAGAAACUAACAAAUUGAGAGCAAACAUGAAGUGAUGCUUCAUCAGAAUAAUCUCCGUCUCCAGCUAUUUGAACCUUCCCCAGCCAGAUAUGCUUGUAUUCAUUAUUAUGAUUUCUAUUUAACAGUUCUUAGGGUAUUUUUUCCUCCCAGUAAUUUUACAUGCUGUUUUUGAAUUGAUGUGAACUUUUAGCACCCAUAACCCCUUGCAGCAAGAAAAUGCACAGCUUCACAGCACACCACAUCAAGAACAGUCUUCUGUUUGUUUUAUGCCCUUCACCUAGACUCUCCUUUGGAUAAUCCCAUAAUUCUUUUACAGCAAGAGGCAGUGAAAAACUCUUCUCUGCCAUUCUUGAUUUACAGACUCUAUAUUAUAUCAUUAGUUUGGUCUUGUCCAAGUGGACAAUGUUAGACUAUCUACAUGUUCCUGUUAUGCAUUUUGUAUCUUACGAUCCUUAUUGAUCUUCUUGGAACCCUUCCUUGUUCUUCUAUAUUGCUUCUGAAAUGGAGAGUAUUCAAAAUGAAGACGCAUACCAGGGAUUUCAAAAUAACAUAACAUCUUUUUUGCUUUGUUGUUUUUCAACAGUAUAUGUGAAAAUUCCAUCAGUAACUGCAUGGAUAAAACUCUUCUUGUUCUACUUCAUAAGUUCUUGGCAACUGACAUUUCUUUCUGUUCCAUUCUGUAAUUUCCUCCUGCCAUUCUGUAAUUUUCCCUAAAUGACCUGCAGCCCGAGAGCUAUGAAAUUCCUUUAUAUUGCUUGCAGCUCUUUAAAAGUUGGAAUAACAAUGUCAUUUUGUAAAAUAACACCUUAGAAGAAUUUUUCUUGCAUGAGUGGACUGAAACACAAAAGACUUCCUUAUAUAUAUGUUAUUUUAACAUUAGAAUUACUAUAGUUUGUGUCUGUAUAAUCUGAAAUUGCCUAAUUAUCUUACCAAGUUUGUCACUUUCUAAAAGGCUCUUCAUUCAUCCCAGCAUUGCUACUUUGGUUGCUGUCUCAAUUAUUAAAAAUGCCACUAAAGCUUUCAGUUUUGCUACACAGCAAAAUUACUAUCAGCAGCCACUAUACUGACUGUAGUCACAAAUAAGUGUUUUGGAUGGGCAGCUCAGUUCAAGCUUAAACUUUCAAAGUUCAGUCCCACAUUUUGACUGACUAAAAGACAGCUGUAUAACCAAGUUACUAAAAACAUCCCGUCAGGCUGAAAGUAAAAGAAGGACAAGUUCUCGAUCCCAUUUCAUUUUUAUUCCAUCUUGAAUAAAUACCCUACUUGCUCCCAGAUGGGACCCAAAGAAGAAGAAUUAAAAUAUUUUAUCCAGUUUAGACUGAAACAGUCACAAGAUGCAAGCACCAAGGACCAAUUUUGCAAUCUGUAAAAAAGACUGUGUAAUCUUGUUUCAUUCUUGUCAAGUCAGUGUGAGAGUUUUACCCCAUGUACUGUUCAUCUUGUUGCAGGAAUUCUCCCUCUUUUCUCCUCUUUAGUCUCUUGUUUGAGUAACCCUUCAUCAUUUGCUGCUCUUCAAGAUUUUGAGUACAAAGAAAUCUAUGAAAAGUCAUUCCAAAUUGCAUGCAAGUAUUAAUUUGGUGUUACCCCUGGAAAAACAUUUCUAUAAAAAGAAAACAAAACCCAAAUCCCCUCCCCCCCGCCACCACAAACCAAAACCCUACACAAUGCACCCAAACCCCGCCUACCAUGAUAAAAUUGCCUCAGCAUUUUCUUUUUAAUUCCAGGUCAGAAUACUUCCUGCAAAAAGCACAUUAAGUAUUAGGAGAAUUAGAAAAUAAUUAGAGAUGGUUUGCUAGCUUUAUCACUUGUCCAUAGCUUCAAAGAACAGAUGACUCACUUCAUUUAUAAACAUUCAGUAAUUCUGUCUUCUGUUCUAGCUCAAUAAUUUCAUUUUGGGAGGAGGGGAAGGGAGGAAGAAUUUGUGUUUUGCUUGUGCACUUGUCUUCAGGCUUACAGCACAAUUGAAGCAAAUCUUAAAUAAGAUAAUAUUAUAUCUAAUACUGCAUGUGAAUCAAAGUUAGAGGUAUGACCACACUAAAUCAGAUGCUUCUGCCACUUUCAAAGUUAUUUCUUAAGAGAAGGAAAUCAAUCCUUUAUUUAAAUACGUUAUUUGAGUAAUGAAAAAAAGAUGAGAGUUGUAUCAAGUAAGUAACCAUUGGGGGGAAGUCCAACAUUAAAUAUGAAUCAAAAGUUGCUUAAGAGAUGAAAGUAAAUCCCCAGUCAACUCCAGUUCUUAUCAUAGCUGAUUCAAAUAAUGAAUUUAGCAGAUCUAUAUUAAAAAGUUAGCUACCAUUCUAUAUAAUUGGAAGCUGUCUUUAAAAACUAAGCUAGCUUUUUAAGGAUAUAAGCUGACUUACGCUUCUAAGGAAGAAAAGGCAGCAACUCACUCAAAGAAAGGUCAUGCAGGCACCAUAAAUGCAUUUCCCGCACCUCCCUACAAAAAUCACGGAAUAGAUUUGGAUGGAAGGGAGCUCAGAAGGUCACUUGGCCAAUUUCCAGCCCUCUCUCUUCCGUGGCUCCAAACUUGACUAACUUCAGUAUUGCAGCAAGUUCCUCAGGACACUGUCAGCCAAGUUUUGACUGUUCCCAAGGAUGGAGAUUUCAUAUUCUCACUGGGCACCUGUUCCAACAUUUGAUGACGCUCAUUGUGAAAUUUCUUUUUCUAACAUCCCAUUGGAACUUGAUGCAAUUUGUGCCCAUUGUCCAUGCUUUCACUGCUCAAGAGAACAUUUAGAAAAGUUGCUCCUUGCACUGUUUAACAAGAAAAUAAUUCCAGAGUAUUUGUCACAGAGUGAUGGGUUAACAAAAUGAGUCAUCACGCUUUGAAUUAUGGGACUUGUAACAUCAGCUAUCUAAAUUCCAGUAAGUUAUUACUGCUGAUGAAUUAACAUUUGUUGUUUCCACUUAUAGUCACAAAGUGUAGCAGAUAAGGAAAAAUUUUAGCUACUGCCCAGCCCCUAGCAUACAUGGUAUUAGUUGUCAGAAUAAUUACUAGAUAAUAGGAAAUUCAACACAGUACUCAUCCUGAAAUGGCAUUUUUCUUUCCCUUCUAAUUUGUGUGUCAUUCCACUACUUUCUAAAACAUGCUCCACCCUGUACAAAACAGGGGCACCAAUGCCAUUAAGUAACUUCAAAAAAUGCAUCAGUAGAUAAACACAGAAUCGUAAGGAAUAAGAAGAAUUUCACAGCUGUCUCUUGUUCAGUAAUUGGAAAGCGCAGCCUUACUUCAUAUUUAGAUUUAAACUCUUCCUUGUCUGAUGUCUGUCUUCUGAUGUUCUCAGGAAGUCAAAUAUCACAGAGGUUAUAUUAUUAUAACCUUUUACAAAAAGUGAUAUAUCUGAAUAGAUCUAUACCUGGAGUAACUGUAAAAGUGCAUUAUAAAAACCUUUUACUGAUCUGAGUCACAUUUUUUAUGACUAGGAAGUAACAAGACUGGAAGCUGAAUCUGUGUCUCUGAUUUUACAUAUGUGAAUUUAAAUGUCCAGUAGUGUUGAAACUCAACUCAUGUUUGACAACAGUAUGUGUUAAUGAUGUUCAGAAUACGUUCUUACAUUAGAAGAGUAAGAGGCUGUAAACAAAAAGAAUAAAUUAAGAAUGAGAUGUGCCAUUAUA